rnacentral:rRNA from 1 species
CCUACGGGAGGCAGCAGUGAGGAAUAUUGGUCAAUGGACGAGAGUCUGAACCAGCCAAGUCGCGUGAAGGAUGACUGCCCUAUGGGUUGUAAACUUCUUUUAUAUGGGAAUAAAAUGUUCCACGUGUGGGAUUUUGUAUGUACCAUAUGAAUAAGGAUCGGCUAACUCCGUGCCAGCAGCCGCGGUAAUACGGAGGAUCCGAGCGUUAUCCGGAUUUAUUGGGUUUAAAGGGAGUGUAGGUGGACUGUUAAGUCAGUUGUGAAAGUUUGUGGCGCAACCGUAGAAUUGCAGUUGAAACUGGCAGGCUUGAGUACAGUAGAGGUAGGCGGAAUGCGUGGUGUAGCGGUGAAAUGCUUAGAUAUCACGAAGAACCCCGAUUGCGAAGGCAGCUCACUGGACUGUAACUGACGCUGAGGCUCGAAAGUGUGGGUAUCAAACAGGAUUAGAUACCCUGGUAGUC